GAUGAACGCUAGCGGCAGGCCUAACACAUGCAAGUCGAGGGGUAACAUAGGAAAGCUUGCUUUUCUGAUGACGACCGGCGCACGGGUGCGUAACGCGUAUACAACCUACCUUUUAGCGGGGAAUAGCCCAGGGAAACUUGGAUUAAUGCCCCAUAGUAUAUAGACUUCUCCUGAAGUUUAUAUUAAACAUUUAUGGCUAUUAGAUGGGUAUGCGUCCUAUUAGUUAGUUGGUAAGGUAACGGCUUACCAAGGCAGCGAUAGGUAGGGGUCCGUGAGAGGGAGAUCCCCACACUGGUACUGAGACACGGACCAGACUCCUACGGGAGGCAGCAGUGAGGAAUAUUGGACAAUGGGCGAGAGCCUGAUCCAGCCAUGCCGCGUGCAGGAAGACUGCCCUAUGGGUUGUAAACUGCUUUUACAGAGGAAGAACCACCCCCACGUGUGGGGGUUUGACGGUACUCUGCGAAUAAGGAUCGGCUAACUCCGUG
rnacentral:rRNA from 1 species